rnacentral:rRNA from 1 species
CUACAUGAAGCUGGAAUCGCUAGUAAUCGCGGAUCAGAAUGCCGCGGUGAAUACGUUCCCGGGUCUUGUACACACCGCCCGUCACACCAUGGGAGUCGGAAAUGCCCGAAGUCUGUGACCUAACCGUAAGGAAGGAGCAGCCGAAGGCAGGUCGGAUGACUGGGGUGAAGUCGUAACAAGGUAAC